AUUGAACGCUGGCGGCAGGCCUAACACAUGCAAGUCGAACGAGUGGCGGACGGGUGAGUAAUGUCUGGGAAACUGCCUGAUGGAGGGGGAUAACUACUGGAAACGGUAGCUAAUACCGCAUACCAUCAGAUGUUCCCAGAUGGGAUUAGCUGGUUGGGGGGGUAACGGCUCACCAGGGCGACGCUCCCUAGCUGGUCUGAGAGGAUGACCAGCCACACUGGAACGUAGACACGGUCCAGACUCGUACGGGAGGCAGCAGUGGGGAGUAGUGCACAAUGGGCGCAAGCCUGAUGAAGCCAUGCCGCGUGUAUGAAGAAGGCUUUCGGGUUGUAAAGUACUGUCAGCGGGGAGGCGUUACCCGCAGAAGAAGCACCGGCUAACUCCGUGCCAGCAGCCGCGGUAAUUC
rnacentral:rRNA from 1 species